UACGUAGGGGGCGAGCGUUGUCCGGAAUCAUUGGGCGUAAAGCGCGUGUAGGCGGUUCGGUAAGUCCGCUGUGAAAGUCGGGGGCUCAACCCUCGGAUGCCGGUGGAUACUGUCGAGCUUGAGUGCGGAAGAGGCGAGUGGAAUUCCUGGUGUAGCGGUGAAAAUGCGCAGAUAUCAGGAGGAACACCAAUUGCGAAGGCAGCUCGCUGGGACGUUACUGACGCUGAGACGCGAAAGCGUGGGGAGCAAACAGG
rnacentral:rRNA from 1 species